rnacentral:lncRNA from 1 species
ACCGUGGACAACCCCUACUUUACAUCCCACCAUGACAGUCAGUCCCUCCUCAUGCAGCCUGAAGGGGCCUGCUACAAUGCAACCCACAAACAGCCACCAUUAUCCCUCCCCUGCAUUUCCUUCCCACACUUUCGUGUGAUUCAUUGCAUCUUCAUGAGACCACAAGUAGGUAACUAACCCCGUAAUGUGUCCAUCAUGAACACCUCUCCAAUACCAUGUAUGUUAUUCUGACAACAGUAUUUUUGAUAAAUGCCUGAUGUUCCAUUGCAUUGACAUCCUAUCCCUUGCUUAUCUAAUCCCCUGUUACUGGGCAUUUUCUUUAUUUCCAGUUUUUGCUAUUGUAAAUAUAGAUACAGUGAACAUCUUUGGGGCUAAAUCUUUGGCUGUAUUAGAGCUUCCUUAAUUAUUUUAGAGAUUAAUAAAAAAAAAAAAAGAUGGCUCGUGAUGUGCUUAGUGUUGGUUAUGCAGAGAGCAAAGCUUUUCCACAUCAUCCAGGGGUGAUUGCAUACAGACCUCCAUGGGCGUCAGAAAAUCACCAUUAGCCAAGCAAAUGGCUCCAGGGGAUGGAAGAUCCUGGCGAGACAUCUGUGAGAGUCCAUCCAGCACACAUUCAUUUGAAUAUUUUCAGUUGCGAAGACAACAAGACUAACUUCCUGAAAAUUUGGAAAAGACUCCAAGCUCCUUGAGGACAGGGACUGCGCUGGUCUUGUGGACUGCUUGGACACCAGCCUGCAACAUGGUGACUCACGCAAAGUUGCACUUCAGGACUGCCAGCGGCCGAGACAUCCGACAGACCAGGAGUCUUCUCAGCCUCCUGCCAGCACGAGCCAUGUUCCUUCCAGACCCACUUCAAAGCCCAGACACUUCGGCCAAGUUGCUGGACACCACAGGGCUUCAGGGUCCUCAUCCACACAGGGAAAACAAUACCUGCCUUCCUGGGUCGUUCGCUGUAGGAUGAGGGCUCGUCGUGGUAAAAUACCCCAAAUAGGGACCCACAUACAGUAGGCACUGGGUACACGGGAGGUGACAGAGACUGGAACUUGGGACUUUCUCUGCGUUUUCUCAUGGUCAGCGUUCCUGAAGUCCCACCAAGACAAGGACUAGACCUGGGAGGACACCGCAACUCCACAGUCCACAUGCCGCCCUCCACACCGGGCCCCCUCCAGAGAGCAGGGCUCCACUCAGCACUCUCAACAAAAGGCCUCUCUUCCUCAGCAGAGAACACACCCAGCACUGCC